GAAUAAAGUUGGCCCUUGCGAGAGAAACCUACUGGGUCUUGUGUUACCGUCUUUUGAAAUCUGUGAAGUGUUGAAGUUUUAGUCGAGUACCAUUUGGUGAGUUUGUGACGAGUGGCCAGCAGAAGGAGUGAGCUGUAAAGGAAUGGAAGGACCCAGGUCUUGGCUGGGACCUGAGCGCCAGUGUGUCACGAGGGAGUGCGGGGACAGCAGCCACGGGAUCCAGGAGACUGCUGGAACCAGGGGGCCAGUUGGCAGAGUGCCGAAAUCUCCAUUGCAUGCUUGAUACAUCUGCAAGAUAAACUGUGAGAAGAAUGGGCAUUCCGAGAAGGACAACAGGACACAUCCCAAAUCAAAAGCCUGAAGGUCAGGAUCCAAAUGUUGAAGAGGAUCUCAUUCUAUAGUUUUCCAUUGUAACUGGACGAGGUGUCAUUUUAGUGGACCAGUGUUUAAAAACAAGUCAGUGGAGCUAGCUGCGAAGCUGGGUCACAAAGGUUUUAAAGCAACAGGUGGUUGAUUAUCUCAAUGGAAAUGUCGGCACCACAUUAAAGCGAACAGUGACAAAGGUGCUGAUGUGUUAGUGCAGAAACAUAGAAAUCUACAAAUCUCCCUGACUUUCUUCAAAAUUUUUGUGCAAAUGAUAUCUACAAUGCCAAUGAAAACAGACCUUUUAUUUAUCAUGCCAUACUGAAGGAUUCCCUUUACUACA